AAAAGAAAAAAUGAGUGUCCUAAGUGCAAGUUGGACUGAGGGCAAUGGCCAACAUCAGUGAUGUGUGAUAUAUGGAUUCUGCACACCAUCCGUUAUUUGUAGACUUUAUUCACAAUCACUUGACUCUGUCUAAUUGCUUUAGAAACCAGAGGUAGUUUUUGUGUUAUGUAGAGAAUAUUCUUGAUAAAAAGUUUCUGAGUAUUUUAAAAAGUAUUCUCAUGCUUGCGUGCUCUUUGGGGAGGUCACAGGUUAGUGUGCAAAUGUAUCUGGUCAUUUUUAUGCUCACUGUUCCUUCCUUUGUUUCAUUCUUAGACUAGGGACGACUGUUAUGAUUUAGUGAGUGAGGCCCUGCACCGCUGCGCUGAUCAUGCUCUGUGGGCUUGAUGGUGGGACCAGGAACAUACACUGCUGGCAGUCAUGCUGUGACUCACUUGGUGACCAGGCACUCCAGCCACCCCUCCCCCAGCUGGUGUCAUGCUCGGGACGUCAUCAUUGCACCAGAAGUCCAUCACCCCUGCCGAGAAGAUACUUCUUCCUGAAGCAGUUGCUUCCUGAAGUCACUGAACAUCUCCUGCCACUUGACCCUUUGUCUAUACCUACCAGCAGAAGCCAGUUUGUAGGAACCCUGCUGUCUCUAUCCCCUGGAUGACUUCCUACAGCAACUCUCUGUUGGACAUCCUCUAUGGACAAUUUCGGUAAAACACCCUAGGUGUUUUUCUAGGAUACUUCCUGAUCAUCACCAUCAUCAUCACCACCACCAUCAUCAUCACCACCACCAUCAUCAUCAUUUUCUUCAUUGUAAAGAUCACAUGUCCAUUAGGUAACUAAUGCUGAGUGGCUAUUUUAUACUGAACCAAAAAAUUAAAGAGUGUAAACUUCUAUUCUAGCAUUAUAAUUUAAGCAGGUGCACUGAUACACACGUAAGUUUAUAGGUACUACAUAACAGAAAUCAACCUGCUAACUAGCUAGUCCGGAUUGCUCGUUAUGAACUAGAUCUGUGACUGGAUCAUGAAGAGAACCUCUGGGAAUCAUAAACAGAAGGAGGCUGUUCACCUUUCUUUGGUUAGUGUUUUAGGUAAACAAUGAUAAUAGAUUCACGUUGUUGACUUUGGGUCUCUGUGGUCAAAGAGAGUGUAAGGUGGGUAGUGGUACUGGGAUUGCUGCUUUUUUGUUUGGUUGGUUUUUUGGUUUUCUUUUUUUUUUUUUCUUUAAGGGAAGGAGAUACAAGAUGAUCAAAUGCGUUUUGACCAGCUGUAGCAGAGAGAGUGAAAGGGACAGGAUGAUGGAAAGAAGCCGGAUCCAGAAUUAUGCCCAGAACCCAAGGGUAGCUCUGUUACCAGAUGCAAGAUCCGAGUCAAAGCAUACACCUGGAAAUUCCUAGUGUCCCCUUUUCAUCUGUAUGAUGGGAGUAAUAACAUCUGCCCUGAUGUGCUAGAGUUAGUAUGCUAGUCAGUUUUGUGCCCUGGAGAUAACUUAGAAAGAAAAAAAAAAAAAGGGCUGGAGCUUAAUUCAGUGGGUAGCAUGCUUGCCUAGCACAUGUAAAGCCCUGUUUGAUCCCCAGCUCUACACAAACCCUGUGUGAUAGCACAUGUCUAUAAUAUCUGCCUAAGAGGACCAGAUGUUUAAGAUCAUCUCAGACAUAUGGCAAGUCUAAAGCCAGCCUGGGACACAUGGGAUCUUGUCUAGAAACAAAACAAAACAAAA